rnacentral:lncRNA from 1 species
UUUCAAUGAUGCGGCUUCCAAAUCGACGAUCGGCUCCGUUAGACUUGAUCUACACUAUUAAAAAUAUUUGGAAACUAAAUUUCAUAAUUUUUCGACAUCAUUUAAUUAACUAGUGAUCAAAAGGUCUCAAAAUUGAUAAUUUUAAUGGUAGAUAUGAUGCGUUUGUGAAUUUAACGGUGUAAAACAAUCCAAAUCUGAUGAAAUUUUUAUAGAAAAUUCUUUUCACUAUUUAAAGUAAGAUCAGUAUCCCUGAUCUUAAAUUCAAGUUUUUUAUCAUUAUGUUUUAGGAGAUUUUUAUUUUCAGCCGUUCAUUUUUAAACUACUCGUUUGUUAGGUAAAUGAUGCCGAAAAUUCAUGAAAUUAGUUUCCAAAUACUUUUAAUAGUGUAGAUCAAGUCUAACGGAGCCGAUCGUCGAUUUGGAAGCCGCAUCAUUGAAAACAACUUGGUAGCACGGAGGCCUCCGUGCCACCGAUAUAUAUUAUGCUACUACACUAUUGAUAAUCCCAAGCGCUUGGUGCUAUCGAGUUUUCGACCGUUGAAUGAAAAGAUGUGCAGUUAGGAUAAUAGUGGUCCCUUAAGUUUGAGUGGGUGGUUAAUUGAAUAGUAUAAUCUAAUGGGUGGAAAUGAUCAAAGGGUAGAUAUAAUGGCAGAAAACUUGAUAGUACCAAGAGCUUGGUAUUAUCGAUAGUAUAGUAGACAGA